CAAACAAAAAGAAUCUAUCUCAGAUUGAAUAUGAAAAACCAUCGUCAGGUAAUGUGAUGGUUGUAUUGCUGCUGCUGCUGCUUGCUGCUGCUGCUGCUGCUGCUGCUGCUGCUGCUAUAUUUCCCUGAUCAGUUUUUGCUAUUAUAAUGUUGUACGGGGCAACAACAAUUCAAAUAGCAACUAUUAAUUUCUACUACUACAACAAAGAAAGAAAAUUUACAUGUAUGUAGUAGAGAAAAGAAUGUGGUGCGCAUUAUUAAUUU
rnacentral:misc_RNA from 1 species